UUCUUUGAAGUGUGGUUGUCUUAUAUGUCUCACCUUUUUGUUGUCUUUGAUGCUGGCAAUAGCAAUUUGUUGUUGCAAAUGUGCUCAAGGCUUUUUCUUGAAGGAGGAGCAAAAAUGGACACCUGCUUUUUGAGAUUGCUCAUGUUCCUUUAACACAACCCCCCUGUGCACUAUAAGCAAAGCUUUUGUUCCUGCAAGUCAAAAUCUAUGUUGUGAUUUAGCAUCUUAUUUGUUGCAUAAUGGGGCCCUCUAUCACAUAUUGACCAGCUCAAGGAAUCAUUAUGUUUAGUAACAAAAUAUUCCAAAGUGAAAUGGGGAGUAUGUGUAUGGGGUUUUGCACUAUAUAUGCAUGCAUAUAGUCACAAAAGAUGACUUUAAUGGGGAUAUUGGCUUUGUCUUCAUAUAAAACCCCCCUUGUAAUUGUCUUGUACAAUGAGAAUGGCUCAAUUGUGAGCAAAAAAUUCAUACAACUUUCAACAAUGGAUCUCUUGGCUCUUGCAUCGAUGAAGAACGCAGCGAAAUGCGAUAAGUAAUGUGAAUUGCAGAAUUCAGUGAAUCAUCGAAUCUUUGAACACACCUUGUGCUCCUUGGGUUACCUAUGGAGCAUGCCUGUUUGAGUGUCAUGUUAAUCUCAAUUCCCUCAGGUAUCUCUUGUACAAACAAGAGAAGGGCCUGCUCAGGGUAAAUUGGAUUUGGAGGUUUUUAUGCAGGGUCCCCUCUCUUUGUAGGGGGAAUCAGCUCCUCUUAAAAAUAUUAGCUGGAGGGAUAAUGCAAAAUGACUUCUUAGCAUUGUUCAUUGGCUAUGGUGUAAUAA
rnacentral:rRNA from 1 species